UCCCGAAACGAAACCCUUAUUCACGAACCCAAUUAAAAUCCCUAACCCUAACGAAGUCACAAAUCGCUCGCCCUCUUCCCAUCGAUCUGCUGAAAGAAGUGGGAGUUGCUCACCCUCUUCCCGUCGAUCUGCUGAAAGAAGUGGGAGUUGCUCACCCUCUUCCCGUCGCUCGCCAUCAAUCUCUUUCCCUCCCUCCCUAGUCCAGUAGUCCCUAUUGAUUUGCUGAGUGUCACUGUCACUGCCGACCGUCGACCGUCGACCGUCUGUCCUCUUCAGUGAUCUCUUCUGUUGGCUUAUAAUUUGAGGUAUGGUUUUUAUUUUGUUGCUAAAAAAUUGAAUCUGCUUAUUGAAUUCUUACAUUGUAUUAUACAGCUCUGUUAAGGUAACAUGGCAAAAGCUCAAACCUUCUUCAACUCUUAUAAUUUGAGUAAUGUAAUAAUGAUCAAAUGGGUAGUUUAGCCUGUUCAUUAUCUGAAAGCAAUUUGGAGUUGUCAAAUUACUCUACCUUUCUUUAUAAGUAAUGAGAGCUGGAAAAUGUUAAAUGUUAAAGUAAUGAGAGCUGGAAAAAUUAGAUUCUGAUAAGUGGUUCUUUCUCAACGAUGAUGCAAUUGAUGGAUAUAUUCCAUGAGGUCAGCUUCAUCUCUUUUUCUUUUUCUCCUCGUAUAAUUUGGAGCUUGAAGGAAAUGCAUAUGGUCCUUAAUAUUUGUUUGUUAAAAUCAAAAUAGUAAAAUGAUAUGUAAUAUAUUGAAUCUUGGGUUCUCUCUGAUUAGCAAAUGGGAAGAAAAAAAAUUGCAGAUUAGAAAUAGAAAAUUUAUUGUGUAUUCAGACAAUAUUUAUUGUAUUAUUUUGUUGAAAUUAGAAAUAGAAAAUUUUAAAAAAAUUGCAGAUUUUAGUUUGAAUCGAAUCGAACCGAACCGAACCGAUUUUUAUCGGUUCGGUUCGGUUCGGUUAUAUCAUCAUAAUCGGUUUUUUCGGUUUUUAAAAUUUUAACAUUUCG
rnacentral:lncRNA from 1 species